AUACGUAGGGGGCGAGCGUUGUCCGGAAUGAUUGGGCGUAAAGGGCGCGUAGGCGGCCCGGUAAGUCUGGAGUGAAAGUCCUGUUUUUAAGAUGGGAAUUGCUUUGGAUACUGUAUCUCUUGAGUGCUGGAGAGGUAGACGGAAUUCCUUGUGUAGCGGUGAAAUGCGUAGAUAUAAGGAAGAACACCAGUGGCGAAGGCGGUCUACUGGACAGUAACUGACGCUGAGGCGCGAAAGCGUGGGGAGCAAACAGGAUUAGAUACCCUGGUAGUCCACGCUGUAAACGAUGAAUACUAGGUGUAGGGGGUAUCGACUCCCUCUGUGCCGCGGUUAACACAAUAAGUAUUCCGCCUGGGGAGUACGGCCGCAAGGUUGAAACUCAAAUGAAUUGGCGGGG
rnacentral:rRNA from 1 species